GACGAACGCUGGCGGCGUGCCUAAUACAUGCAAGUUGAGCGCUGAAGGUUGGUACUUGUACCAACUGGAUGAGCAGCGAACGGGUGAGUAACGCGUGGGGAAUCUGCCUUUGAGCGGGGGACAACAUUGGGAAACGAAUGCUAAUACCGCAUAAAAACUUUAAACACAAGGUUGAAGUGUGAAAGAUGCAAUUGCAUCACUCAAAGAUGAUCCCGCGUUGUAUUAGCUAGUUGGUGAGGUAAAGGCUCACCAAGGCGAUGAUACAUAGCCGACCUGAGAGGGUGAUCGGCCACAUUGGGACUGAGACACGGCCCAAACUCCUACGGGAGGCAGCAGUAGUGAAUCUUCGGCAAUGGACGAAAGUCUGACCGAGCAACGCCGCGUGAGUGAAGAAGGUUUUCGGAUCGUAAAACUCUGUUGGUAGGGAAGAACGUUGGUGAGAGUGGAAAGCUCAUCAAGUGACGGUAACUACCCAGAAAGGGACGGCUAACUACGUG
rnacentral:rRNA from 1 species